rnacentral:rRNA from 1 species
GGUUAAGCGACUAAGCGUACACGGUGGAUGCCCUGGCAGUCAGAGGCGAUGAAGGACGUGCUAAUCUGCGAAAAGCGUCGGUAAGGUGAUAUGAACCGUUAUAGCCGGCGAUGUCCGAAUGGGGAAACCCAGUGCAAUUCGUUGCACUAUCGUUAACUGAAUACAUAGGUUAACGAGGCGA